rnacentral:rRNA from 1 species
AGCAGCCGCGGUAAUUCCAGCUCCAAUAGCGUAUAUUAAAGUUGUUGCAGUUAAAAAGCUCGUAGUUGAAUUUUGGGUUUGGCCAAUUGGUCCGUUCUUGUAACGAGUACUGGUUGGUUGGGCCUCACCGCCUGGUGAUACGUAAUGUCCUUUAUUGGGUGUUGCGAGUAGCCAGGACCUUUACCUUGAAAAAUUAGAGUGUUUAAAGCAGGCUUAUGCCGGAAUACAUUAGCAUGGAAUAAUAGAGUAGGACGAUGAUUCUAUUUUGUUGGUUUCUAGGAGCAUCGUAAUGAUUAAUAGGGAUAGUUGGGGGCAUUAGUAUUCAAUUGUCAGAGGUGAAAUUCUUGGAUUUAUUGAAGACUAACUACUGCGAAAGCAUUUGCCAAGGAUGUUUUCAUUAAUCAAGAACGAAAGUUAGGGGAUCGAAGACGAUCAGAUACCGUCGUAGUCUUAACCAUAAACUAUGCCGACUAGGGAUCGGGCGAUGUUGUUUCAAUGACUCG